rnacentral:rRNA from 1 species
UCUAGAGCUAAUACAUGCUACUAUGCCCUGACCCGCAAGGGAACGGGUGCAUUUAUUAGAACAGAACCAACCGGUGGUGGCUUCGGCUGCUAUCGUUGCACUCUGUGAUGACUCUGGAUAACUUCACUGAUCGCAGUCGGCCUUGUGUCGGCGACGGAUCUUUCAAAUGUCUGGCCUAUCAAUUUUCGAUGGUAGGUGACCUGCCUACCAUGGUGAUAACGGGUAACGGGGAAUCAGGGUUCGAUUCCGGAGAGGGAGCCUGAGAAACGGCUACCACUUCCAAGGAAGGCAGCAGGCACGCAAAUUACCCAAUCCCGGAACGGGGAGGUAGUGACGAAAAAUACGGAUACGGGACUCUUAUGAGGCUCCGUAAUUCGAAUGAGUACAAUUUAAAUCCUUUAACGAGGAUCAACUGGAGGGCAAGUCUGGUGCCAGCAGCCGCGGUAACUCCAGCUCCAGAAGCGUAUAUUAAAGUUGUUGCAGUUAAAAAGCUCGUAGUUGGAUCUGGGUCGUAUGGCUGCGUGCCGCGCUCGCAUUUUCGGCUUGGCUUACGCUAGGUCGAGUUUGUGGGUCGGUGUCGUGGCUGUGCUGCCUUUAUACCGUGUCUGUUUCGACAGGUGCUGACGUAUUCGAUGGGCUUGUCUCAUUGUUGUGUCGGCAUGCUUCCAGAUGCCUUUAACCGGGUGUCGGGGGCGGACGGUGCGUUUACUUUGAACAAAUUUGAGUGCUCAAAGCAGGCUUGUGCCUGAAAAUUCUUGCAUGGAAUAAUGGAAUAGGACUUCGGUUCUAUUUUGUUGGUUUUCGGAUCCGAAGUAAUGGUUAAGAGGGACAGACGGGGGCAUUUGUAUGGCGGUGUUAGAGGUGAAAUUCUUGGAUCGCCGCCAGACAAACUACAGCGAAAGCAUUUGCCAAGGAUGUUUUCAUUGAUCUGGAGCGAAAGUCAGAGGUUCGAAGACGAUCAGAUACCGUCCUAGUUCUGACCAUAAACGAUGCCAACUGACGAUCCGUGGGUGUUUUAAUGACCCCACGGGCAGUCCCCGGGAAACCU